rnacentral:rRNA from 1 species
GAAUGCUGACAUAAGUAACGAUAAAGCGGGUGAAAAGCCCGCUCGCCGGAAGACCAAGGGUUCCUGUCCAACGUUAAUCGGGGCAGGGUGAGUCGACCCCUAAGGCGAGGCCGAAAGGCGUAGUCGAUGGGAAACGGGUUAAUAUUCCCGUACUUGGUGUUACUGCGAAGGGGGGACGGAGAAGGCUAUGUUGGCCGGGCGACGGUUGUCCCGGUUUAAGCGUGUAGGUGUGUGUUCCAGGUAAAUCCGGUUCACUUUAACACUGAGGCGUGACGACGAGGCACUACGGUGCUGAAGCAACAAAUGCCCUGCUUCCAGGAAAAGC